rnacentral:rRNA from 1 species
CCUACGGGGGGCAGCAGUGGGGAAUAUUGCACAAUGGGGGAAACCCUGAUGCAGCGACGCCGCGUGAGUGAUGAAGUAUUUCGGUAUGUAAAGCUCUAUCAGCAGGGAAGAAAAUGACGGUACCUGACUAAGAAGCCCCGGCUAACUACGUGCCAGCAGCCGCGGUAAUACGUAGGGGGCAAGCGUUAUCCGGAUUUACUGGGUGUAAAGGGAGCGUAGACGGCGGGGCAAGUCAGAUGUGAAAGCCCGGGGCUCAACCCCGGGACUGCAUUGGGAACUGUGCUGCUAGAGUGUCGGAGAGGCAGGCGGAAUUCCUAGUGUAGCGGUGCACUGCGUAGAUAUUAGGAGG